rnacentral:rRNA from 1 species
ACGGAAGGCAGCAGUGAGGAAUAUUGGUCAAUGGGCGAGAGCCUGAACCAGCCAAGUAGCGUGCAGGAUGACGGCCCUAUGGGUUGUAAAGUGCUUUUGUGCGGGAAUAACGUGCUCCACGUGUGGGGCAGUGCAUGUACCGUACGAAUAAGGAUCGGCUAACUCCGUGCCAGCAGCCGCGGUAAUACGGAGGAUCCGAGCGUUAUCCGGAUUUAUUGGGUUUAAAGGGAGCGUAGGCGGAAGGUCAAGUCAGCUGUGAAAUGUAGUCGCUCAACGUCUGCACUGCAGUUGAAACUGGCCUCCUUGAGUGCGUAAGAGGCAGGCGGAAUUCGUCGUGUAGCGGUGAAAUGCUUAGAUAUGACGAAGAACUCCGAUUGCGAAGGCAGCUUGCUGGGCCGCAACUGACGCUGAAGCUCGAAGGUGCGGGUAUCGAACAGGAUUAGAUACCCUGGUA